UUCACCCUUAAAGCAUUCCUGCUGUUAGGAAAGGUGGCCUAUUUUCUGGUCUGAAACUUCACAGCAUUAAACUUAAUUCUUUUCAUUCUAGGUUCCUGGUUGGAAUCUGCUCCCCACUCAGCUAGCUGCUGCUGGACUAUUCCUGGUGACUUUACUGGCUUCACUUCUCAUUUCCAGCCGCCAAAAAGUGCCAUUUGUUUGAGGACACCUGCAGUAAGCUCCUUUCCCAACCUAGUCCUGGCAUCCUGCAGUUAAGAACCCACCUGCUCUUAUCCCCACCUCAGACAACUGGCUUCCAUUUCACUUGACCUUCUCAACCUAGGACCACAACUACUGAAGUUUAAUGCCUUCUCCUGAAGCUUCAUAGGACAUGCUAAAAGUUAACAGAUAAGACGACUGGACAGAUGGGCUCAAAUGCAGAAAUGAGCUCACCUUCCAAUGAACUCCGCGGUCACGUGAGGUGGAAAUUCAGGGCUUUGGACCUACAGCUGCACUCGAGACACCUUCAUCACCAGCUGUCACGUCUUGGAAUGCAUCACAUGCUCCCGAAUGCACGGACAAGGGGGUACGGUGAGGCGAGAACACAACUCCUCCCUUGCUAAAAGCAAAGGGGGGCUGCCCCUCCCUCUCCCCAACUUGGGCAAACAGUGCUCCCUCACAGCUCUCCCUCCUCCUGGAUUGGUGCUGUGAGAGUUCCCUUCCCCUUUCCAUCUGUUGUAACCACUGGGGCCAGUAAGGGGUAGAAAAGGAGCACAGGAUGGGUGAGACACACCUGUAUGGCUCAGAGGUCGGCAGUGCUCUCCUGCAUCCGUCAACUCUAACCACUUCAUCCCUGUGGUAACUCUUACUUCUUUCCCCCACCUAGCAAAGUUGAGAGGUGCAGUGGGGUAAGUGCCCAAAGAUAGGGUGACUGUAUUUCCCAAAGGGAAAAUGGGACACUGCGCAGGUCUGGCUCGAGUCCUCUCCCCCUGUGGGGCUGGGGUCGCCCAGGCCCUCCCUGACACUUGUGCAAGGUUGUCGCUGCACAAGGCCAUCACUGUUUGCUCCAGCCCUGUCUGGUCCUCUUGCUCCCGCAUGAGGCUGUCAUUGCUUGCUUGCCUCUUGGCCCGCUCCUCCCCCACCAGCACUCCACAUUUUGACCAAAGUGGACAUUUCUCCUGUUUGCUCUUGCCAACUGAUUACAUCAACAAAAGGAAACGGGGCAAACGCCUACUUUUGGGAAAAAAGUCGAGACGGCUAGGACAGGGCUUAAAGAAGGGACUGUCCUGGUCAAAAUGGGAUGUAUCAUGCUAAUUACUCAAA